CCUACGGGAGACGGCAGUGAGGAAUAUUGGUCAAUGGGCGCGAGCCUGAACCAGCCAAGUCGCGUGUGGGAAGACGGUCCUAUGGAUUGUAAACUUCUUUUGUCGGGGAGCAAAAGACGCCACGCGUGGCGUUUCGAGAGUACCCGAAGCAUAAGCAUCGGCUAACUCCGUGCCAGCAGCCGCGGUAAUACGGAGGAUGCGAGCGUUAUCCGGAUUUAUUGGGUUUAAGGGGUGCGCAGGCGGAAGAUCAAGCUAGCGGUAAAAUUGAGGGGCUCAACCUCUUCGAGCCGUUGAAACUGGUUUGCUUGAGUGAGUGAGAAGUAUGCGGAAUUCGUGGUGUAGCGGUGAAAUGCAUAGAUAUCACGAAGAACUCCGAUUGCGAAGGCAGCAUACCGGCGCUCAACUGACGCUCAUGCACGAAAGUGUGGGUAUCGAACAGGAUUAGAUACCCGUGUAGUC
rnacentral:rRNA from 1 species